UCGGUCUGUCUGCCAGCAGUUAUGGACUUUAAGGAAACAGUUAAUAUAAUAAACCUAGUAUACAUUUAUUUUAUUUCAGGAUUAGGCUCUGCAUCGCCCACUCCGGGGGUCCGGGGAGGCUCGGCAGUAAGCGUCUGGUCGCCCGUGUCCUCACAACAAGGUCCUAUGUUGUGUACCGUAAAGCUGCCGUCAGAGACCCCCGCUGUACGGUGCAUUAUGGCGCCGAGCCCCCCGAUCCUGGAUCUAUGGAUCCUCUGGUGACCCGCGGGUCCUCCGUCGGUCCGCGUCACACACGAACCGGUCUGCGGAGAUGAGGCGGAGCCGCGACGGUUCUGUUUUCAUCCCGUCCGUGUGGGCCGGAAGCUAGCCAGGCUAACGUGCUAGCUUUGGAGCGAAGCUAACCAGGCUAACCUGGGGCCAGCAGUUAGCCACGGAGCAAAGCUAACCGAGCUAACUUGGUGCUAGCUUUAGCCUCCGUGAUAGCUGUUAGCCUCCGCGAUAGCUGUUAGCCUUCGAGGCUAGCUGUUAGCCUCCGAGAGAAGCUAACCCAAGGCUAGCGCUCUGCCAGCUGUCAGAGGGGUCGUCAGCGCUGUUCUUUCAGCCGCAGAGCCGAAACAGCGCCGGAUGAGACCCGAGCUCCAUCUCAACCGUCUCGUACCCGCAGGGACCAGCUAGAGGGCGCCAGCCGCCAGAGGCAUGGAUCUGUCGACGGGCUUCAGCGUCAGCCCCCUGCCCCGCGGUCACACCGAGGCCAUGGCCCUGGUGAAGAGACCCGAGUGGUACCGCCGCCACGCCGUAACCCGCAGCGCCGACGGCAGCUCCCCACUCAGAGCCCGGCUCAGAGCGGACGGCAGCAGGCCCGACGGCGGCCUCGUCCUUCCACUGCGGCCCAAGAUGGAGGAGGCGGGCCUCCAGGACGCCGCAAUGGAUUGUAGGACUGCGGCGCCGCAGGGCCGGGGCCUCUUCCACGAGAGCGUCCACGGGCGGCUGUGGCAGGCGGGCUUCUACCCCACGGAGACCGCCGCCGCCGUGGACAGCAGCUCGGGGACGGACAGCGACAGCGGCUCUGAUGUCAUCUUCCUGCUGUCAGCGUCCAAGGACUCGGCGGCGUGCAGCUCCGUCAGCGGGGGGAGCGUCAGCCUGGCGGAGGGGGCGGAGCUCGCGCUGGACGGCGAGGGGCGGGGCUGCUUCCUGCUCCCCUCAGCGCUGAGUUCGGCCAGCGGCGAGAGUUCGUGCUCGUCGGACUCGUCGGACAGCGUGAUCCCGGAGCGCCACGCCCGGCCGGUGGUGCUGCUCUCCGACGUCACCGUCCGCUACGGCCACUACUCGGAGUCGCCCAUCAACAUCUCUAGCGACGAGGACAGCGUCGCCCUGGAGGAGGCGGCCGGCGGCGGUGAACCGAUGCUCCGCGACUCUGAGGACAGCGGGUCCGAUAAGGGGAGCGUGUCAGGCGAAGCGACGGUCGGGAGUGAGCGCGGCGACCUGCGGCGCAGCCCCAGGAUCAGGAUGGCGGCGAUCCCCAUGGCGACGGCGGCGGAGUUCACCUGCAGAGUGUCGCAGCACAACCUGAGGAGCCAGGUGAAGUGUGGGUACGAGGAGGUGGAGGACACGGAGGAGGUGAUGGACUACAUCAACGGGGUCGCCUCUUCCUCCUCCUCGUCAUCGGAGGAGGAGCAGGAGGACCAGACGGAGGCCCCCCCGCGGCCGAAGCUCCAGCGCAAAACACGGACUCCAAGGUGUUCUUCGGAAGACUCUUCCGACAACUCUUCCGAUAAGUCGUCCGAUAACUCGACGGAUUCAGACGAUUGUCGGUACGUUCGGCAGCUCUCUGAAUCGGCCCGCAGUAGAACGCGGCGUUCAGAACGAGCGUGCCUCAAAUCCCCGCCACAGACCCCCCAAGACGCCAAACAGGUUGUUAGGACCACGCGGUCCCGACCCUCCCCUCAGUCCGCGGCGCCGCGGCCAGAGCCUCGGCCCACGCCGCCCGCCGCCAGGAAGGCGGCGCCGAGGAAAACCGUGGCGGGGAAACGGCGGCGACCGCGGAAACGCCGUCGUCCCAGCAGCCCGCCCCCGCUGUUCGCCCCCGGGGAGCCGGACCUCCUGCUGAAGUACACCCAGCCCCGGGAGGGGAGGAGGAGGAGCCAGACCGACCACUACCAGCCCUUCAUCCACGUGGGGAAGAGGAGCUGCACGGUGGUGAACCAACAGGAGGAGGAGGGCGGCGGCCCCGGGGCCCCGCCCGGCCCUGUGCCCGGCACCUCCUGCUACCGGUUGGGCCGGCUGGGCCCCCGGAGCAGGGGCCGCCCCCCCGGGGCCUGCUGCCUCUGCGGCCGCUCGGCCAAUGCCCUGGGCCUGGGGGACCUCCACGGACCCUACUACCCCGUGGCCCCGCUCCCCCAGGGGGGGGGCCCACCGCGCCGCUCCUCCCCCCGGCUGGACACCGUGGGGCCGGAGAGGUCGACGCCCACAACGGACAACGCCGAACGCACGCCGAGAGUGAAGACAGAACGAAGCGAGAUCCACGUGUGUGGCGGUUUGUGUCCUGCCGCCGAGGGCGACCGUGUCCAUGGUGAGGAGGAGGAGGAGGGGGGAGGCGGUGGUGAUGAUGAGGACGACCGGUCCUCCGUCAUGGCAGCGGAAUCCCCUCGCGUUCCCAUGGAGGCGACGCGGUGGCCGGAGGAGUGGUGGGUCCACGAGGACUGUGGCGUCUGGGCCACGGGAGUGUUCCUGGUCCGGGGCCGGCUCUACGGCCUGAAGGAGGCGGCCAGGGGCACCAGGGACGUGGUGUGCUGUGAAUGCCAUGAGUCGGGGGCAAUUAUGGGCUGUUUCCAGAAGGGCUGCAGUCUGAACUACCACUACCGAUGUGCCAUCAGCUCAGGUUGUCUUCUAAAUGAGGAAAACUUCUCCAUGAAAUGUUCCCAACACAAGAACAAGGUGUUGACAAGGGCAGCUCAAUCCGGCCUCCGGAGAUGACCUCAGGGACCACCCACUCAUCAGUGGUAACACCGGCUAGCAUGUUGACCUGAGCGGGCUGCCCACUUCCUGAACACCUUCCGGGACUCUGCAGGGAACUGAGUGAGUUACGGGCGACGGACAACCUUGCUCUCUGAUCCACACUUCAGUUUGUUUCCUGCAAGUCACUUUGUACUAUUUAUUACACAUUAAUUUGUGGAACUUCCUUGUUUGGAUAAUUUGUGUCUGCACAAUGAACUGGAUUCUGUGUUAUUUAUGCAAUUUAUGUAAAUUAAAUUAAUAACUAUUCUUUAA